GAUGAAAAACUUCUUCUAAUGGAAUCCAGCUUGAAAACUGCUCAAGAGCGGCUGAGCGAACAGCAAGAGUUCGCCAAGAACACAACAGUUGAAAAGCCCAGGCCGAGCCGAAGACAGUGACAGAGGGAAUUAUGGCUUCUGAAGAAGAAUCAAAUGACAGCAACCCAAUCGCAGUUUCCCCCUCCAUCCUUUCCUCCUGUUCCCUCCACUCCAGCUGUUCUCAUCUGCUCCACUGAGAGGAUCAUGGAGAAAUGGAACUAAAGACAGAACCAUGAAAGUUAAAAUCCUGAGAACAAGACAGCUUAAUUCAACCCUCUCUGAGGGCUUCAUUCAUCCGUAGUAACAAUUCCAGUGCACAUAUUCAUUUUAGGCUAAUGCAUUAGUUUAGGUUUAAGUCACUUUAAAUCUAAGGAGAAUUAAUAUUUUAUGCAUUUUCUUAAUACAUGAGAUGCUGGGAUGUUAUCUUAGCAUUAUAUAAUAUCAGAUAUAAACUCGUUAUCAAAUUAUUAUCCAUGUGAUUAUUUAUUUGCAAAUAUAAGUAUUAUAUGGAUUAAUUCAAAUAUUUUAACUUAGACUUAUACAGAUGUUUAGUAGACUUUUGAAUUCAUAUUCAUAUUUAUCUAUAUAAUUAUUUUUUUUCCUGUUGUAGGUAGAAUUCAUUUGCCCAAUUAAUUUAUGUUUUCUAAGUAACUUUUUAUAUAAUAGGCUGUAUGUAUGAUGGAAAGAAAAAUCCAUGCAUUUCUGGUAUGUAUCUCAGAGUUCUUUCAAGUUGUUUGAAAAAUGGAUGGUGAAAUUGCCAUGUAGGUAAAUGUCAAUAGGAAUACCAUUCUAAACAGAAAGAGAAAAACAACAAUACCCUAAGUAAAAACUGUGAAUAAAGAAGGCAGGUACAUUCUUGUGAAGAUAGGGACUGUAAUGACUAUGGGAGAAGAUGAACCUUUGAAAAACUAUUGGAAUUUCUAAUUAUCUUCUGAGAAAAGCUAAAACAAUAACUUGGAUUUGCUUGUAGAAGAGCCUGGAUGCACACAUUGUUCCUGAUUUCAUGAGAAACUUAUAGCACAGGAAGUUUACUCCAGUGACCAGUCACUGAGUUAUAGCUGUCAACCACCACAUCUAUCCCCUUGUUAUAAAUGCCCAUCAAUCAGAUCAAAGAGAGCAGCGACCAUCUGAGCAGCUGCAGGAAGCAGAAAGAUGCUGAGCGAAUUCAAGGAGGAUUGAGCUGGCAACCUUUCACCUCAGCCAUGUGCUGGAGAAUACAUCUGAUAGAUACACAUUCUAAAUGCAUUUCUAUGGUUUUAUUAACAAGGUUGUCUGGUGUUGCUAGUUUACCAGAAAAGUAAUGGACCAUUGCAGUUUCUUAAGGUUAAUAGUUGUAGUAGAAGGCUAAUUCUUUAACAUUAAAAUUUUACAUUUUAACUUUUUA